rnacentral:rRNA from 1 species
UACGUAGGGACCAAGCGUUGUUCGGAUUUACUGGGCGUAAAGGGCGCGUAGGCGGCUUGACAAGUCACUUGUGAAAUCUCCGGGCUUAACUCGGAACGGCCAAGUGAAACUGUCAUGCUAGAGUGCAGAAGGGGCAAUCGGAAUUCUUGGUGUAGCGGUGAAAUGCGUAGAUAUCAAGAGGAACACCUGAGGUGAAGACGGGUUGCUGGGCUGGCACUGACGCUGAGGCGCGAAAGCCAGGGGAGCAAACGGG